CCCUUACCGGGGCAUACCCACGGGAAACUGUGAAUAAUUCCGUAUGAGGUUGAGGAGCCGCAUGGCUUCUUUACCAAAGUCUUCGGGCGGUAAGGGAUGGGCGUGCGUCUGAUUAGCUAGUUGGUAGGGUAACGGCCUACCAAGGCUACGAUCAGUAGGGGGCGUGAGAGCGUGGCCCCCCACACGGGUACUGAGACACGGACCCGACUCCUACGGGAGGCAGCAGUAAGGAAUAUUGGUCAAUGGUGGGAACACUGAACCAGCCAUCCCGCGUGCAGGACGAAGGCCCUCUGGGUUGUAAACUGCUUUUACCAGGAAAGAAACGGGCGGACUUGUCCGCUCCUGACGGUACCUGGGGAAUAAGCACCGGCUAACUCCGUGCCAGCAGCCGCGGUAAUACGGAGGGUGCAAGCGUUAUCCGGAAUCACUGGGUUUAAAGGGUGCGUAGGCGGCUUGGUAAGUCAGAGGUGAAAGCUUCCCGCUCAACGGGAGAACUGCCUUUGAUACUGCCAGGCUCGAAUUGGGUUGAGGCAGGCGGAAUGUGGCAUGUAGCGGUGAAAUGCUUAGAUAUGCCAUAGAACACCGAUUGCGAAGGCAGCCUGCCAAGCCUUGAUUGACGC
rnacentral:rRNA from 1 species